CCUCCUUCUCUCUGCAACAAGAAAAAAAAAAGCCAUUUACAGGGGGUGAUGUGCAACUAAUUAAAGGCAGACUAGCAGCGUCUGCAAAUUCUAAGGCUCCCCAAAUAAAAAGAGACUGUUGUAACAGUUGGAG